rnacentral:rRNA from 1 species
CGCCAGACUCCUACGGGAGGCAGCAGUGGGGAAUAUUGCACAAUGGGGGAAACCCUGAUGCAGCGACGCCGCGUGAGCGAUGAAGUAUUUCGGUAUGUAAAGCUCUAUCAGCAGGGAAGAAGAUGACGGUACCUGACUAAGAAGCCCCGGCUAACUACGUGCCAGCAGCCGCGGUAAUACGUAGGGGGCAAGCGUUAUCCGGAUUUACUGGGUGUAAAGGGAGCGUAGACGGCGGCGCAAGCCAGAUGUGAAAGCCCGGGGCUCAACUCCGGGACUGCAUUUGGAACUGUGUGGCUGGAGUGUCGGAGAGGCAGGCGGAAUUCCUAGUGUAGCGGUGAAAUGCGUAGAUAUUAGGAGGAACACCAGUGGCGAAGGCGGCCUGCUGGACGAUGACUGACGUUGAGGCUCGAAAGCGUGGGGAGCAAACAGGAUUAGAUACCCUAGUA